GUGCCAGCCGCCGCGGUAAUACCGGCAGCCCGAGUGAUGGCCGAUCUUAUUGGGCCUAAAGCGUCCGUAGCUGGCUGCGCAAGUCCGUCGGGAAAUCCAUCAGCCCAACUGAUGGGCGUCCGGCGGAAACUGCACGGCUUGGGACCGGAAGGCUCGAGAGGUACGUCCGGGGUAGGAGUGAAAUCCCGUAAUCCCGAACGGACCACCGAUGGCGAAAGCGCCUCGAGAGGACGGACCCGACAGUGAGGGACGAAAGCCAGGGUCUCGAACCGGAUUAGAUACCCCAGUAGUCC
rnacentral:rRNA from 1 species